AGUGAACGCUGGCGGUAGGCCUAACACAUGCAAGUCGAACGGCAGCACAGUAAGAGCUUGCUCUUACGGGUGGCGAGUGGCGGAUGGGUGAGGAAUACAUCGGAAUCUACUUUUUCGUGGGGGAUAACGUAGGGAAACUUACGCUAAUACCGCAUACGACCUACGGGUGAAAGCAGGGGAUCUUCGGACCUUGCGCGAUUGAAUGAGCCGAUGUCGGAUUAGCUAGUUGGCGGGGUAAAGGCCCACCAAGGCGACGAUCCGUAGCUGGUCUGAGAGGAUGAUCAGCCACACUGGAACUGAGACACGGUCCAGACUCCUACAGGAGGCAGCAGUGGGGAAUAUUGGACAAUGGGCGCAAGCCUGAUCCAGCCAUACCGCGUGGGUGAAGAAGGCCUUCGGGUUGUAGAGCCCUUUUGUUGGGAAAGAAAAGCAGCAGGUUAAUACCCCGCUGUUCUGACGGUACCCAAAGAAUAAGCACCGGCUAACUUCGUG
rnacentral:rRNA from 1 species